CAAGAAUUUAAUUAUAUAAAGAUGACAGUAUUUCAUAACUAAAAGCUUGCAGCCUACUCUCAAUACAACGGCGAGUGGGCAACUGUAGUCUGUAAAGACCAUCUCUAUAUACACGUCAGUUGCUUUCUAUGUGUUUUUAUGCAUGUGAGUCAUCCAGCCAUUGUGCUUUUGUUUACGCGGAAUGCGUGGAAUGCUUUUGAGUAAUCCAGCCAUUGUGUACGUAGCCAUUGUGCGCCGUUGUUUUUUUGGAGUCAUUUAGUUCAUUUACUCGAUGUUAAUGACUCAAGUUGUUGAUUUUUCCUCCACUUUCUUGACAAACACAUAUUAAACACGAUUAUUUAUUUUUGUGGGAGAGGGGUUCGGGGUUGUGAAGAGUCCAUUAACAGUAUAUGACAAGCAUCAUGCCUACUCAUAUGUCACACCCUAUUAGCUGCACUGAUUCUGAACUGGCUGCUGAUAAUCUGACCAAGAUUCACUUGGACAGUCCUAACCUGACCAACUGGAGCACGAAACCCCAGUAUGGACAGUCCUUACCCUGACCAAUCGGAGCGCAAAACCCCUAUGGACAGUCCUUAACCUGACCAAAGGCACUAAACCCAUAUGGCCAGUCCUUAAACUGAACAUGGGGGGUAAACCCCCAUGGACAGUCCUUAGAUUUAGAUAUAUUAUGUGUGACAUAUAUUGAGUCUAUGGGCCUGAAGUUGACAUUUUAUGGAGACUUCAUCCCCACAAAUACACAGAAUGUGUAUUCCCCAUAGACGAACCCUCCCCCCGAAACAUUGAUAGUUCUUUAGCGGUUAGCACAUCUGUCAAAGUGGCUGAUACCCCAGAUAGAGUUGCAAGACAGCUGCUGCCAGACGAAAGUUUGACAUAUAUUUGAGCGUUACCAUCACUCAUACUAUAGCUGGAUAGUCAGGGAGGCCAGAAAAAAUCUGGAAUAUACAGGAAACCUGGAUGGGGCCAAGACAACCAGCAGCUUCCCCACAAAGCUUCUAUAUUACAAGUUCUUAACUGGAGGGUUGGUAACACGACAAACAAAGCUCACCAUCAAGG